GUCCACGCCGUAAACGAUGGGUGCUAGGUGUGGGAGGUGUCGACUCCUCCCGUGCCGCAGCUAACGCAUUAAGCACCCCGCCUGGGGAGUACGGCCGCAAGGCUAAAACUCAAAGGAAUUGACGGGGCCCGCACAAGCAGCGGAGCAUGUUGUUUAAUUCGACGCGACGCGAAGAACCUUACCAGGGCUUGAAAUGCUCGGGAAAGCCGGGGAAACUCGGCCCUCCUUCGGGACUCGAGUACAGGUGGUGCAUGGCUGUCGU
rnacentral:rRNA from 1 species